rnacentral:rRNA from 1 species
CGGGGGGAGCAAGCGUUGUUCGGAUUUAUUGGGCGUAAAGGGCGCGUAGGCGGCUCUUUAAGUCAGAUGUGAAAACCCAGGGCUUAACUCUGGGAGUGCAUUUGAAACUGAAGAGCUCGAGUGCAGGAGAGGUAAGUGGAAUUCCUAGUGUAGCGGUGAAAUGCGUAGAUAUUAGGAGGAACACCAGUGGCGAAGGCGACUUACUGGACUGUAACUGACGCUGAGGCGCGAAAGCGUGGGGAGCAAACAGGAUUAGAUACCCUGGUAGUCCACGCUGUAAACGAUGGAUACUAGGUGUGGGAGGUAUCGACCCCUUCCGUGCCGCAGUUAACGCAAUAAGUAUCCCGCCUGGGGAGUACGGCCGCAAGGUUG